rnacentral:ncRNA from 1 species
CACUGAACCCCGGGGGGCCGGCUCGACCGGCUGAGAGGUGGCUGUUGGCCACGACCCGCCGAACCUGAUCCGGUUAGAACCGGCGGAGGGAGGGUGCGCCGAAACCCG